UCUUCCAAGUCAUAGGGAAAUGAGUAGGUUAAUAUUACAUGUGCAUUUGUAUUAAUAUAGACAAUGAGAGGCAACCAUCAUACACAAAAAUAGUAUUCAAUGGUGUUUCAAUGAUUCACUCUUAUUACUUCCCUGUUCAGCACAAAGUGGCUGUCUAACCUUAUUGAAUAUUUACAUUUAUGAGUCUCAAGUCAUUUCCUAUAAGAGAAUAUGUUGAAAUGGAUUUGGUCAUUCUCUGAUGACUCUCAGUCUAGCUUUACUUCUGUUAGCACUCUAUGAUGUUAGCAUCAUUGAAAUAAUUUAGCAAAAAUAAGUGUCUAAUACUAGUAGUAUGUGAAUGUAAUUGUCUGUUUUAGAGUUAAGAAAUGAAUAAAUAUUGUAAUAAUUACCUAUAAGGCCUAUUAAAGGAAAUAAAUGUGAUUAUAUACUCUUAUAUU
rnacentral:lncRNA from 1 species